GACGAACGCUGGCGGCGUGCCUAAUACAUGCAAGUCGAGCGAAGAUAUUCUGGUGCUUGCACUAGAAAAACUUAGCGGCGAACGGGUGAGUAACACGUAAAGAACCUGCCUCAUAGACUGGGACAACUAUUGGAAACGAUAGCUAAUACCGGAUAACAGUAUUUCUCGCAUGAGAGAUAUUUAAAAGUUGGUUAUGCUAACACUAUGAGAUGGCUUUGCGGUGCAUUAGCUAGUUGGUGGGGUAAAGGCUCACCAAGGCGACGAUGCAUAGCCGACCUGAGAGGGUGAUCGGCCACACUGGGACUGAGACACGGCCCAGACUCCUACGGGAGGCAGCAGUAGGGAAUCUUCCGCAAUGGGCGAAAGCCUGACGGAGCAACGCCGCGUGAGUGAUAAAGGACUUCGGUUCGUAAAGCUCUGUUGUUAGGGAAGAAUGAAUGUGUAGUAACCAAACAUGUACGAGACGGUACCUAAUCAGAAAGCCACGGCUAACUACGUG
rnacentral:rRNA from 1 species